rnacentral:rRNA from 1 species
UUUCCUUCUCUUCUUCACACCCCCACCCUUUUUUUUUUGGGGGGGGGGUAGCAAGAAAUAACAAUACAGAACCUUACGGUUUUGUAAUUGGAAUGAGUUAAGUAUAAACCCCUUAACAAGUAUCAAUUGGAGGGCAAGUCUGGUGCCAGCAGCCGCGGUAAUUCCAGCUCCAAUAGCGUAUAUUAAAGUUGUUGCAGUUAAAAAGCUCGUAGUUAAUCUUCUGUUAAUUUUUAUAUAUAAUAUUUCGAUAUUUAUAUAAUAUUAACAUAAUUCAUAUUACUUUUUAGUAUAUGAAACUUUACUUUGAGAAAAUUAGAGUGCUUAAAGCAGGCUGUUGCCUUGAAUACUCCAGCAUGGAAUAAUAUUAAGGAUUUUUAUUCUUCUUAUUGGUUCUAGAAUAAAAAUGAUGAUUAAUAGGAACAGUUGGGGGCAUUUGUAUUUAACAGUCAGAGGUGAAAUUCUUAGAUUUGUUAAAGACAAACUACUGCGAAAGCAUUUGCCAAGGAUGUUUUCAUUAAUCAAGAACGAAAGUUAGGGGAUCGAAGACGAUCAGAUACCGUCGUAGUCUAACCAUAAACAGCAGACUAU